UUUUCUCAACAUUUUGAAAUAAAAGUAUAGCUUUUCAAUAUCUUUCAGAUGCCUCAAAGAUCCGACUAAUGUGAAGUUUUUAAAAACACAAAUUUGCAGGCGCAAGAUAAGUGUGAAAAGGCUGAACCAGCUAAGAAGUGUUCCAUUGGUAUCUACACAAAUGUCAAGAGACAGAGGAAAUCUCUUAACAAUUUGGGGAGACCCUGAAGGAAGGAGGGAGUCAUGGGAGGAUACAGAAAAGAGUUGGAGCAAAUGAAAAGGCAUGGAUGGGAUCCAGUCUGCCCCAUUGGAGAAAGUACCUAUGGCUAUAUGAUAGGAGAUCCAUUGAAGUAAAAAUAUUAGCCAUCAAAUAUUUUGGCCUUUGGCCUUGCUGUCACCAAGAAAGUUAUUUUAUGUGAUAUUCAGAAGCCUGAAAACUUGCACUCUUUUUCUGUGGAUACACCUGUUACUUACAUGCAUUGGAUGGAAGUUAUGAAAGUAGGUUUCUGGUUCGUGUCUCGGCUUAUGCUUAUCAAGUGACUUGAAAUCAUUAUCAGUUAUUACAGAGACAGGAGAUUCUACCAGUAUUAUGUCAGAAAUUUCAUAUUUUCAGGUCUAUUGGAACUGUCCUGAAUCAUCUUGCUGGUGAAAAGAGCCAUGUCUGUCAGAAUUGAUCAUCACAUACUCUUGUUGUUGCCGUGUACAAUUAAUUCCUGGUUCUCCUCACUUCCUUCAGCAUCAGUUCAUGACUUGGAAAAAGCUUGACCCCUCAGUAGAGUCCUCAUACUCCAGUAUACAGAAAUUGGUCAUAAGUCACUUAUAGAGAGUUCAGAGCUUCAUUUUUGAAAAGGAAAGUAUUUCAAUGCUGAAAGAGUUGGUCAGGCUUGAUGAACAGAGUGAUCUUAUACCUAUACAUACUGUCUUCCUGGAGAGUCAGUGGAGAAUAUGAAAGUGCAAUAUUUGCUGUGAAUAGUUUUCGGAAAGUCUCUUGUGUAUUAAGCUCAAAUCUCUGUCAUGUUAGAGUAUUUGAAAUGGAUGUAGAUGAUGGGGAAAUUGAAGAGGAAGAGAAGGAUGAAGAAGAGGAGGAAUCUUCAUCCCAUCACGUGUCUGAAAUGUAACCACUGGAAGGAUAUUUCCUUUUGCUGAUGUUCCUUGAUAAAUCUGCCUGAAGAACUGUAGUUUUUAAAGCAAACAUUAAUUGAAGAAAGGGA
rnacentral:lncRNA from 1 species